rnacentral:lncRNA from 10 species
AAUUUUCCCCCAGUAAUCCGCAUAAAUAUUUUAUGGAACUAAUCUUUCUUUUAUUUUUUCAGAACACACUUUUUGAGAAAGCUUGUUCUAAAUGUCUAUCAAGAGUAUACUCUUUGGAUAAAUGAGCUGAAUAGACAACUCUCAAAAGAAGACAUACAAAGUGCCAACAGGUAUAUUAAAAAAAUGCUCAACAUCAGUAAUUAUCAGGGAAAUGCACAUCAAAACCACAAUGAGAUCUCAUCUCACCCCAGUUAGAAUGGCUAUUAUCAAAAAGACAAAAAAUAACAAAUGCUGGCAAGGAUUGAAAGAAAAGGGAACUCUUUUUUUUUUUUUUGGAGAUGGGGUCUCACUCAUAGAAAAAUAAUAAAUGUUUGAGUUAAUGGAUAUGCUGAUUACCGUGAUUUGACCAUCACACAUUGCAUACAUGUAUCGGAAUAUCACCCUGUAUCCCAUAAAUAUAUACAAUUAUUACAUGUCAACUAAAAAUAAAAGGAAAAAAAGAAAGUAAAAAGACAACCCACAAAAUCAGAGAAAAUAUUGCAAAUCAUAUAUUUGAUGAGGGUCUAGUAACCAGAAUGUUUAAAGAAUCCUUACAAUUCAUCAAUAAAGAGACAAAUAACCCAAUUUAAAAUGGAUAACAGAUUUUAAUAGAUAUUUUUCCAAAAAAGAUACACAAGUGGCAAAUAAGCACAUGAAAAGAUGCUGAAUAUGCUGAAUAUUGUUAGUUGCUAAAGAAAUGCAAAUCAAAACUGCAAGCAAUACCACUUUAUACCCACUAGGAUGGUUAUAAUUUUUUUAAAAAGAAAAUGAAAAGAAUUAUUGGUGAGGAAAAGAAAGGAAGAGAAUCGUUGGUCCGAGGAUAGUGAGGAAGAGAAUCACUGGCCUGAUGAUGGUGGGUUAUCAGAACUUAUUAACAUCAGCAUCACUGAAGUUGGUAUACAACUCUCCACUGCUAAAUUUGACUGUCUUUAAAAAAAAAAGAAAAAAAAAGGAAGAGAAUUGUUGGUGUUGAAACCAAUUGUUGGUGAGGAGGAGAAACCUCAUUGCUGAUGGGACUAUAAUAUGAUGCAGGCACCAGUGAAUUAAUUUGACAGUUCCUUAAAAAGACAAACAUAAAAUUCUAAUACCACCAAGUAUAUUAGUUUUCUGGGACUUCCAUAAUAAAUUGCCAAAAAUUAGAUGGCUCUAAACAACAGAAACUUAGUCUCUCAUAGUUCUGGAGGCUAGAAGCCCAAAAUCAUGCUGUCGGCAGUCAUGCUUCCUCUGAAGGUUCUAGGGAAGAAUUCUUCCUUGCCUCUUCAAGCUUCUAGGGGUUUUUGGAAAUCCUUCGCUUUCCUGGCUUGUAGCUGGAAAACUUCCAAAAUAUGUGAAGACUGAACAUUAUGUUUCUAUAUAGUACAUAAGUCAAAAAAAUCAUAAGGAACUUAGAAAGUAUUUUGAACUAAAGAAUAAUGAGAACACAAUAUGCCAAAAUUUGUGGGACCACCUAAAACAACGUUUUGAAGAAAAUUUAUAGCUUUAAAUGGUUAUAUUAGAAAAGAAUAAAUGUUCAAAAAUAAAUUAUCUAAACAUCCAGCUUAAAGAGCUAGGAAAAGAAGGGCAAAUUAAAUGCAAAGUAAGAAAUAAUAAAAAUUUAAGUGAAAAACAAUAAAAUGGAAGAGAAAAGAGAAAAAUAAAUUAAAUAUAAGCCAGUUCAUGAAAAAGUACAAUAAAAUUGAAAAACCUUUAGAUAAAAAAGAGAGAAAAGACAAUUACUAAUAUUGAGAUUAAAAGAAGAAAUAUCUCUAUAACAGUAAAUGCCCACAAGAGAAAUAGGAAAAAUCUAAAAUCCACACCCUAACAUCACAAUUAAAAGAACUAGAGAAGCAAGAGCAAACAAAUUCAAAAGCUAGCAGAAGACAAGAAAUAACUAAGAUCAGAGCAGAACU